GAUGAACGCUGGCGGCGUGCCUAAUACAUGCAAGUCGAACGCUUUGUGGUUCAACUGAUUUGAAGAGCUUGCUCAGAUAUGACGAUGGACAUUGCAAAGAGUGGCGAACGGGUGAGUAACACGUGGGAAACCUACCUCUUAGCAGGGGAUAACAUUUGGAAACAGAUGCUAAUACCGUAUAACAAUGACAACCGCAUGGUUGUUAUUUGAAAGAUGGUUCUGCUAUCACUAAGAGAUGGUCCCGCGGUGCAUUAGCUAGUUGGUAAGGUAAUGGCUUACCAAGGCGAUGAUGCAUAGCCGAGUUGAGAGACUGAUCGGCCACAAUGGGACUGAGACACGGCCCAUACUCCUACGGGAGGCAGCAGUAGGGAAUCUUCCACAAUGGGCGAAAGCCUGAUGGAGCAACGCCGCGUGUGUGAUGAAGGGUUUCGGCUCGUAAAACACUGUUGUAAGAGAAGAAUGACAUUGAGAGUAACUGUUCAAUGUGUGACGGUAUCUUACCAGAAAGGAACGGCUAAAUACGUGCCAGCAGCCGCGGUAAUACGUAUGUUCCAAGCGUUAUCCGGAUUUAUUGGGCGUAAAGCGAGCGCAGACGGUUAUUUAAGUCUGAAGUGAAAGCCCUCAGCUCAACUGAGGAAUUGCUUUGGAAACUGGAUGACUUGAGUGCAGUAGAGGAAAGUGGAACUCCAUGUGUAGCGGUGAAAUGCGUAGAUAUAUGGAAGAACACCAGUGGCGAAGGCGGCUUUCUGGACUGUAACUGACGUUGAGGCUCGAAAGUGUGGGUAGCAAACAGGAUUAGAUACCCUGGUAGUCCACACCGUAAACGAUGAGUGCUAGGUGUUUGAGGGUUUCCGCCCUUAAGUGCCGCAGCUAACGCAUUAAGCACUCCGCCUGGGGAGUACGACCGCAAGGUUGAAACUCAAAGGAAUUGACGGGGACCCGCACAAGCGGUGGAGCAUGUGGUUUAAUUCGAAGCAACGCGAAGAACCUUACCAGGUCUUGACAUCCCUUGACAACUCCAGAGAUGGAGCGUUCCCUUCGGGGGCAAGGUGACAGGUGGUGCAUGGUUGUCGUCAGCUCGUGUCGUGAGAUGUUGGGUUAAGUCCCGCAACGAGCGCAACCCUUAUUACUAGUUGCCAGCAUUCAGUUGGGCACUCUAGUGAGACUGCCGGUGACAAACCGGAGGAAGGUGGGGAUGACGUCAAAUCAUCAUGCCCCUUAUGACCUGGGCUACACACGUGCUACAAUGGCGUAUACAACGAGUUGCCAACCCGCGAGGGUGAGCUAAUCUCUUAAAGUACGUCUCAGUUCGGAUUGUAGGCUGCAACUCGCCUACAUGAAGUCGGAAUCGCUAGUAAUCGCGGAUCAGCACGCCGCGGUGAAUACGUUCCCGGGUCU
rnacentral:rRNA from 1 species